GCGGACGUGGCGAAAUUGGUAGACGCACCAGAUUUAGGUUCUGGCGCCGCAAGGUGUGAGAGUUCGAGUCUCUCCGUCCGCA
rnacentral:tRNA from 3 species